AACGAACGCUGGCGGCAUGCCUAACACAUGCAAGUCGAACGAGACCUUCGGGUCUAGUGGCGCACGGGUGCGUAACGCGUGGGAACCUGCCCUUAGGUUCGGAAUAACUCCCCGAAAGGGGUGCUAAUACCGGAUAAUGUCUUCGGACCAAAGAUUUAUCGCCUUUGGAUGGGCCCGCGUUGGAUUGGCUGGUUGGUAGGGUAAAAGCCUACCAAGGCGACGAUCCAUAGCUGGUCUGAGAGGAUGAUCAGCCACACUGGGACUGAGACACGGCCCAGACUCCUACGGGAGGCAGCAGUGGGGAAUAUUGGACAAUGGGCGAAAGCCUGAUCCAGCAAUGCCGCGUGAGUGAUGAAGGCCUUAGGGUUGUAAAGCUCUUUUACCCGGGAUGAUAAUGACAGUACCGGGAGAAUAAGCUCCGGCUAACUCCGUG
rnacentral:rRNA from 1 species